GUUACUAAAAUUAAAUUCUGUUUGUUCCUGCAUAAAUCUUUUUAGUACUAUACUGCUUUGGAAUGAAUUUUUUUGGGGGACAACAGCAGGAUUAGCGCCAUCUUCUAGAUGCCAUCAGGUAGGUGCGCUGGCGUAGGUGUUUGUUGUAGCAUUAUUAUCCUAUUCCCCCCUUUUAAAAAUGUUUGUAAGACGCCUGAAAUUUGUAUAAGUUAGUUAUAUAAGUAGUUGAAUAAGAAUUGGUGAGACUUGGAAAAUAGAAGAGGACAGAGAAGAUGGGAAGAAGAUUGCUUUGAAAUAGAAGGAAAUGAGAUAGAAGAUGUUUGAGGAAAGGAGGAGGAUUUUGUUCGCUGUAACGGAAGUUUUUUGAAUGAAAUUUGGAGCAACUGUAUUAAGAUGUUAUUGGUAUCUUGGAUAUCAAGUUUCAUUUAUUUAUGUAUUAUACAAGCUUAUCUAUUGGUGGAAAUGUAGGAUGGCCGCUGUUAUAACAACUUGGAUGAAUUAUUAGAAACACCAAAGAAGUUUUGACAUAGUUUAAACUGGGAAAAGGAAAAGGCUCACAAAUGACCAAUUUAUUCUACAGUAGAUACAGGACAUUAAAUUGACUUCAACAACGCAGAUAUCUCUCAAAAAUGAUAUCUGUUCGAGUGAUGUACUGGGCGUUAACAGUUGCUGUUACAAAUCUGCAAAUGAGUUAGAACUGUAGAUAAGUUUGAUGAAUGCCAAGGAAUUUUUUGAAUGGAAUGAUAGUGAAAAUCUUGCCCACAAAUGACAAUUUCAAGAUACAAUCAAUUGUACUUGAUUGAUUGGCCUUCAUUACCAUUGCGCUAUGAGAAUGUGAGCUGAACAAAUUGAUGGUAGAGGACAUUUUGACAGCUGCAGUCACAACUCGACGAACAAGUUGUAGCUUUGAAGGAAAAUUUUUGAUUGGAUACAGAAAAAUGUCAGGUUGUAAAGUUAAUAGAACCAGGGUUGGACUGGACAUCUGUUGCCUUUUAUUAAUGGUACACGAAAGGACAAUUGCUAUUAGAAACAAAUAAGUUCUACCAGCUGCAACUAAUAUUUAUGGUGGUCAUAAAAGAGAUUUAAAUGAAAUGAAACUUGUGCAGAAGAAAUCGAAGAAAACCAUUUUGAACUGCUGUUAAUAACUGUCAGAGCGUAUCCAGUUCUUUAUCAGUGGUAUACGCUGGGACAAUUGCUGUUAAAAAUCGACAAGCCGUACUAUCUGCAAAUAUUAUGGUGGACAUCAAAAAGCUUUAAAUGGAAUGAAACUUGCAGGAAAAGACUCAGACCGUACUUAAUAGCUGUUGAAAAGUGGUCACAGUCCUUUAUCAAUGAUAUCUCUGCAUUUUCUUAACAAUGGAUAUCAACAGUUGCUCCUACUCCUCACUUUCCUCUUUCACUCAACAUAAAGCAGACUCAAUACUCCUUAGUGCCUCAUCAAGGUUCGUUAGCUUCAUUAAUAGUGUUAUUGUUUCAAUAAAUUUGUUUAUUGGUUUUUAUCCUCUUACUAUAUAUUUAUAUCAGGCGUCAUUUUAAUGUUAAUUUUUUGUAAAAUUUUGAUAAUCUGGAUAGAAACCUUUUUUUUUCUUAAGCUUUUGCAAUAUAAAACACUAGCUAAGAGCAAUACACUUUAUUUUAUGAAUAGGACCAUUAUCUCUGUUGAUAUUGUCUUUAUAUUUAUGCUUUGUGUUGCCUCUAGUUUGAGGGAUGUUUGAUUAAUUUUAAAUCAAUCAAAUCAAUGCAAUAAUCUUUAUGGAGGAUACGUUGAGCAACAUAAUACUAAUCUGUUAUAAUUUUUCACCUCAAGCUUUUUUUCACUCUGACCUAUCUUAUAUUUACUUCCAUUAGUUCAAUCAUUAAAUUGUUAUUAAAUAAAACUAUUGUAUUCUGGAUUUCGUCAAAGGUAUUUUUUAAAAGGAUUAAAAA
rnacentral:lncRNA from 1 species